AUUGAACGCUGGCGGCAGGCCUAACACAUGCGAGUCGAACGGUAACAGGAAGAAGCUUGCUUCUUUGCUGACGAGUGGCGGACGGGUGAGUAAUGUCUGGGAAACUGCCUGAUGGAGGGGGAUAACUACUGGAAACGGUAGCUAAUACCGCAUAACGUCGCAAGACCAAAGAGGGGGACCUUCGGGCCUCUUGCCAUCGGAUGUGCCCAGAUGGGAUUAGCUAGUAGGUGGGGUAACGGCUCACCUAGGCGACGAUCCCUAGCUGGUCUGAGAGGAUGACCAGCAACCCGGGAACGGGGACCCGGUCCAGACCCCUAGGGGGGGCAGAGGGGGGGAAUAUUGCCAAAGGGGGGAAAGCUGAAUGCAGCCAUGCCGGGGUGAUGAAGAAGGCCUUCGGGUGGUAAAGUACUUUCAGGGGGGAGGAAGGGAGUAAAGUUAAUCCCUUUGCUCAUGGACGUUACCCGGAGAAGAAGCACCGGCUAACUCCGU
rnacentral:rRNA from 1 species